rnacentral:tRNA from 1 species
GGGAAUGUGGCUUAGUGGUAGAGCGCUUGCCUAGCAAGCAUGAAGACCUGCGUUCAGUUCCU